rnacentral:rRNA from 1 species
ACGGGGUGCAGCAGGCGCGAAACCUCCGCAAUGCGGGAAACCGCGACGGGGGGACCCCGAGUGCCGUGGCAUCGCCACGGCUUUUCCGGAGUGUAAAAAGCUCCGGGAAUAAGGGCUGGGCAAGGCCGGUGGCAGCCGCCGCGGUAAUACCGGCGGCCCGAGUGGUGGCCGCUAUUAUUGGGCCUAAAGCGUCCGUAGCCGGGCCCGUAAGUCCCUAGCGAAAUCCCACGGCUCAACCGUGGGGCUUGCUGGGGAUACUGCGGGCCUUGGGACCGGGAGAGGCGGGGGGUACCCCUGGGGUAGGGGUGAAAUCCUAUAAUCCCAGGGGGACCGCCAGUAGCGAAGGCGCCCCGCUGGAACGGGUCCGACGGUGAGGGACGAAGGCCAGGGGAGCAAACCGGAUUAGAUACCCGGGUAGUCCUGGCUGUAAAGGAUGCGGGCUAGGUGUCACCGAAGCUACGAGCUUCGGUGGUGCCGGAGGGAAGCCGUUAAGUCCGCCGCCUGGGGAGUACGGCCGCAAGGCUGAAACUUAAAGGAAUUGGCGGGGGAG